rnacentral:rRNA from 1 species
GAUGAACGCUGGCUACAGGCUUAACACAUGCAAGUCGAGGGGAAACGACGGGGAAGCUUGCUUCCCCGGGCGUCGACCGGCGCACGGGUGAGUAACGCGUAUCCAACCUGCCUCUGACUGAGGGAUAACCCGUCGAAAGUCGGCCUAAUACCUCAUGGCAUCGUCUGCGGGCAUCCAACGACGAUUAAAGAUUUCAUCGGUCAGGGAUGGGGAUGCGUCUGAUUAGCUUGUUGGCGGGGUAACGGCCCACCAAGGCUACGAUCAGUAGGGGUUCUGAGAGGAAGGCCCCCCACAUUGGAACUGAGACACGGUCCAAACUCCUACGGGAGGCAGCAGUGAGGAAUAUUGGUCAAUGGGCGGGAGCCUGAACCAGCCAAGUAGCGUGCAGGAUGACGGCGCUAUGGGUUGUAAACUGCUUUUAUGCGGGGAUAAAGUGAGGGACGUGUCCUUCAUUGAAGGUACCGAAUGAAUAAGGACCGGCUAAUUCCGUG